rnacentral:rRNA from 1 species
UACGUAGGGUGCGAGCGUUGUCCGGAAUUAUUGGGCGUAAAGAGCUCGUAGGCGGUGUGUCGCGUCGGCCGUGAAAACCUGCAGCUUAACUGUGGGCUUGCGGUCGAUACGGGCAUCACUGGAGUUCGGCAGGGGAGACUGGAAUUCCUGGUGUAGCGGGGAAAUGCGUAGAUAUCGAGAGGAACACCUGCGGCGAAGGCGGGCUGCUGGGCUGACACUGACGCUGACAGCGCGAAAGCUAGGGGAGCGAACGGG